UACGUAGGGGGCAAGCGUUAUCCGGAUUUACUGGGUGUAAAGGGGGCGCAGACGGCGAUGCAAGCCAGGAGUGAAAGCCCGGGGCCCAACCCCGGGAUUGCUCUUGGAACUGCGUGGCUGGAGUGCAGGAGGGGCAGGCGGAAUUCCUGGUGUAGCGGUGAAAUGCGUAGAUAUCAGGAGGAACACCGGUGGCGAAGGCGGCCUGCUGGACUGCAACUGACGUUGAGGCCCGAAAGCGUGGGGAGCAAACAGG
rnacentral:rRNA from 1 species